rnacentral:misc_RNA from 1 species
UUAACUUUAUUUAUAUAUGCUCAGACAACUAAAAGUUUCAGUGGUUUUGCGUUCCUCCGGCAGGCGCCAGCAAGCCGGCUCAGAAGGUCUCUCCCAGAGACCGCCUGCCAAAGGAAUAAAAGAGUAGAUUCACAGUGGGUUUGGAGUUUUGACACUCUGUAAUGAUCCCUCCGCAGGUUCACCUACGGAGA